AUAAUAUACAUGUACAUUGUGCAUCAUUUGUAUAUGUUCAUACAUCUGAAUGAAUAUAUAGAUAUAUAUAAGAAGAUAUGGUAUUAUUUCCCUUCACCCAAGAUUAAAUGACAUAGAGGUUAACAUAUUAUAAAACUACAGGUCACAGUACAUCCUUCAACAAUGAGCAAAUCCCAUACAGUGUACCUUUCUAUGGAUCUCCAUGAAAUUGAGACUCAAGGUUCGAUACCAAAGUGGUAAAAAUAUAAGAUCAAAGGGGUUUAUUAUUGAAGUGUAAGGGAAAAUUGUAUAAAAAUCAAUUUCAAAUGGUAACAAUUUGAAAACUAAUUUAAUAAUGACAAAAAGGGGGAGGGUCUUCAGUUACUAUUGUAAGACUACAAUCAUGACAAUGAAUGGGAUGACCUGCUUUUAGUUAUUGUGCCAAAUUUAAUCAAACGUUGCCUCAAUCAUUAAAAGGGUAUCUAAUGCUAUUAAUUGUGAUUUUUAAAACAACAGUGAAGACAGGUGAGCGACACAGGCUCGACACAGGCUCAUGAUAUUUGAUACAUGUAGAUAAUUAGUACAAUUCCAAGUCUAAUACAAAUAGAAAGAAAUUCAUGGAUAUUAUAAGCUAAUUGUUUGCAAAACUCUUUGAAUAGUAUUGUGUCCACAUGCUAAAAACUGUUUUCUCCCUUUCAGCAAUAUAACAAGGAAUGGACAGAGGAGUUGACUAUGGAUAAUGACUGAUACUGGAAUAAAGGAACCUAUAUACAGCGUCAAAUGAUUCCAUGCCUGACAGUCCAUUUUUAUAUGUACAUAAAAUGUAUGUUGACAGCCAAUGAAUUACAUAUUUGUAGCUCCCAAGAUGUAUGUGGAAGUGAAGCUAUACACAAUAAAUGAAUGAAUUGAUUAGAUAUACAUGUAGAAGAGACCCUAGAUCAACAGUACAUGUAACUUAAACUGGAUCUGUAGGAAGUAUUCCAAGAGUCUGAUUGCUAAGUAUGCAUUACAGGAUUUUAUUAUUGGAGCAACAUCUUAGGAGGAUAAGUGCAAAUGUAUGAAGGAAUCCUUGGGAACAAAAAGCAAUUAUAUGCAGAAGAGGAGUCUUAAACAUUAUUAACAGAGUCAAAGUAGUGGUGUAUUCAAGAAGUGUAAACCAACUGGAAUUAACUAUUGUGUAUAUUUUUUCUACAUCAAGCACUUUCAGAAUUA